rnacentral:rRNA from 1 species
GGACCUCAUAAAGUGCGUCGUAGUCCGGAUUGGAGUCUGCAACUCGACUCCAUGAAGUCGGAAUCGCUAGUAAUCGUGGAUCAGAAUGCCACGGUGAAUACGUUCCCGGGCCUUGUACACACCGCCCGUCACACCAUGGGAGUGGGUUGCAAAAGAAGUAGGUAGCUUAACCUUCGGGAGGGCGCUUACCACUUUGUGAUUCAUGACUGGGGUGAAGUCGUAACAAGGUAACCGUAGGGGAACCUGCGGUUGGAUCACCUCCUU